rnacentral:ribozyme from 1 species
AAACAUGAAGCUCAAAGCAUUAAUGGGAGGGCUGUCUCUCAAUGAAUUGGACGGUUUUGAGGAGGAGCUAGAAGAGGAACUUGAAACCGAG